rnacentral:rRNA from 1 species
GAUGAACGCUGGCGGCGUGCCUAAUACAUGCAAGUCGAGCGAAUGGAUUAAGAGCUUGCUCUUAUGAAGUUAGCGGCGGACGGGUGAGUAACACGUGGGUAACCUGCCCAUAAGACUGGGAUAACUCCGGGAAACCGGGGCUAAUACCGGAUAACAUUUUGCACCGCAUGGGUCGGAAUUGUAAGGCGGCUUCGGCUGUCACUUAUGGAUGGACCCGCGUCGCAUUAGCUAGUUGGUGAGGUAACGGCUCACCAAGGCAACGAUGUGUAGCCGACCUGAGAGGGUGAUCGGCCACACUGGGACUGAGACACGGCCCAGACUCCUACGGGAGGCAGCAGUAGGGAAUCUUCCGCAAUGGACGAAAGUCUGACGGAGCAACGCCGCGUGAGUGAUGAAGGCUUUCGGGUCGUAAAACUCUGUUGUUAGGGAAGAACAAGUGCUAGUUGAAUAAGCUGACACCUUGACGGUACCUAACCAGAAAGCCACGGCUAACUACGUGCCAGCAGCCGCAGUAA